ACAAAAGAGGCCGGAAAGUGUCCGGAGGAAGCGGCGCGUCAUGGGGGCCGGAGCCGGGACCCUGGCGCGGCCGCCCAGCUGCGUCCCGGGUACACGGCCCGCACCGCCAGCCGCACUCCCGCCACCGCCAGCUCCGCGGCCGCCGCCAAUGAGACUCCUCCCGCUCCUAGUGGGUUUUUCCACUUUGCUGAAUUCUUCCUACACUCAAAAUUGCACCAAGACACCUUGCCUUCCAAAUGCAAAAUGUGAAAUACGGAAUGGAGUUGAAGCCUGUUACUGUAACAUAGGAUUUUCAGGAAAUGGUGUCACAAUUUGUGAAGAUGAUAAUGAGUGCGGAAAUUUGACCCAGCCCUGUGGUGAAAAUGCCAACUGUACUAACACAGAGGGAAGUUACUACUGUAUGUGUGCCCCCGGUUUCAGAUCCAGCAGUAACCAGGACAGGUUUAUCACUAAUGAUGGAACCAUCUGCAUAGAUAUAGAUGAGUGCAGUGAAUCAGCUGCCUGUGGAGAUCAAGCAGUGUGUGAAAAUGUGGAUGGUGGGUAUAAUUGCUCCUGCAAGGAAGGUUAUCAGACAUCCACAGGAAAAGCACAGUUCACACCUAAUGAUGGCACUUACUGCCAAGAAAAUGUGAGUGCGAACUGCCAUCUAGAUAAUGCCUGUAUUGCUGCAAAUAUUGAUAGAAUGUUAACAAAAUUUAGACACAUAAAGGAACCUGUGGCUUUGCUACAAGAAGUCUAUAGAGAUUCUGUGAAAGAUCUUUCACCGAUGGAUAUAAUUACAUAUAUAGAAAUAUUAGCUAAAGCAUCCCCAUUACUGGGUGCCAUGAAUAGCACUAAUUCAGCCAAGGACACCCUUUCUAAUUCAACUCUUACUGAAUUUGUAAAAACUGUGAAUAAUUUUGUUCAAAAGGACGUAUUUAUAGUUUGGGACAAGUUAUCUAUGAAUCAUAGAAGAACUCAUCUCACAAAACUGAUGCAUGCUGCUGAACAGGCUACCUUAAGGAUAUCUCAGAACUUCCAAAAGACCACUCAGUUCGAUACUAAUUCAAGUGAUAUAGCUCUCAAAACUUUCUUUUUUGAUUCAUAUCACAUCGAACAUACUCAUCCCUAUAUGAAUGUGGAUGGAGAUUAUAUAAAUAUAUUUCCAAAGAGAAAAGCUGCAUAUGAUUCAUAUGGCAAUGUUGCAGUUGCAUUUUUAUAUUAUAAGAGUAUCGGUCCCUUGUUUUCAUCAUCUGACAACUUACUGGAACCUCAAAGUUCUGAUAAUUCUGAAGAGGAAGAAAGAGUCAUUUCUUCAGUGAUUUCUGUCUCAAUUAGCUCAAACCCACCCACGUUGUAUGAACUUGAAAAAAUAACAUUUACAUUAAGUCACAUGAAGACCACAGAUAAGUAUAGGAGUCAAUGUGCAUUUUGGAGCUACUCGUCUGACACGAUGAAUGGCAGCUGGUCUUUGGAGGGCUGCAAGCUGCUGUCCUCAAAUGAGACCCACACCUCAUGCCGCUGUAACCACCUGACACAUUUUGCAAUUCUGAUGUCUUCUGGUUCUUCCAUUGGUAUUAAAGAUUAUAAUAUUCUUACAAGGAUCACUCAACUAGGAAUAAUUAUUUCACUGAUUUGCCUUUCCAUAUGCAUUUUUACCUUCUGGUUCUUCAGUGAAAUUCAAAGCACCAGAACAACAAUUCACAAAAAUCUCUGCUGUAACCUAUUCCUUGCUGAACUAGUUUUUCUUGUUGGGAUCAAUACAAAUACUAAUAAGCUCUUCUGUUCAAUCAUUGCCGGGCUGCUGCAUUAUUUCUUUUUAGCUGCCUUUGCAUGGAUGUGCAUUGAAGGCAUCCACCUCUAUCUCAUUGUUGUGGGCGUCAUCUACAACAAGGGCUUUCUGCACAAGAAUUUUUAUAUCUUUGGCUAUCUCAGCCCGGCUGUGGUAGUUGGAUUUUCAGCAUCAUUGGGAUAUAGAUAUUAUGGCACCACCAAAGUAUGUUGGCUUAGCACAGAAAACAACUUUAUUUGGAGUUUUAUAGGACCAGCAUGUCUAAUCAUUCUUAUAUUAUUUCGGUUAACUUAUUUCAUCAUGAAGAACAAAGCUGCUUUCCAAUGGUGCUGGUCUAAUCCAUUGCCUCCCAGCACAGCUUCACGGUGCACACCGAGGGUUUUCUAAGGGGAAGGAGUCCUGCCUAGCCCGGGUGUAUUCUUCACUGAGCUCAAACCUUUUAUAUGAGCUUUUAUCCACUACAUACUUUAAGGACAUUUUAUCAGUCUUUGCACAUACACACAUGUCCAGGUUCCACAACAAUUGCAGCAUCUGAAAAUUUACCCCCUCUUUGAGAUCUCUUUUCAAACUGUCAUAUGCGGAGAGGGUGAUGUCCUUGGGGCUUUCUACUAAGAAGCUGGUGUCCUCAGAUUACAAAAAGGAUCAGGUGUGAAAAUAAUUUUAAAGCUAUGAAGUUAUGGUUGCCAUACAAAACACAGGAUGCCCAAGUAAUCUGAAUUUCAGAUAAAUAGCAAAUUAGUUUUAAGUGUACCCCACAUAUUGUAUGGGAGAUACUUAUACUCAAAAUUUUUUUGUUGUAUAUCUGAACUCAAAUUUAACUGGUAUCCUGUAUUUUUACUCAUUAAUGAAGCAACCCUACAAAAAGGGCCUAUAAAGGUGUACAUUAUACAGAAGAAAAUGUGACAGGUACUUGAAAAUACAAACUGUAUUUACGACUUGCUGAAGAGGAAGUCCUAUACUAGUUAUAAUUUGUGAUCUCUUUAAAAAACACAGAAACAGAAUCCACAAAUAAGAUUUUAUAUAAUCGAUUACUCACCAAAUAUCUAGAACAUCAAUAAUAAAUAUGAGUUAUUGAUAAAUUAGUAUUUCUUUUAAACUGGAUUUUAAGUUUUUAUUUAAAAUAUAGCAAACACUAAUUAUAGGGUAUUUCAUAUAUAUAUAUACAAUUUAUAUUUACAUGUCUUUUACUUUGAGUUAGUUCUGUUGCUGUCAUAACAAAUUACCACAAUUUUGGUGACUUAUAACAACAAAUCUAUUAUUUCACAGUUCUGGAGGUCAGAAGUCUGGGCACAGUGUGGCUCAGCCGUUUCCUCUGCUUCGAGUCUCACCAGGCUAAAAUUAAGGCAUUGGCCAUUCUGGAGGUGCUGCGGGAUAAUUUGUUUCCACGCUUAUUUAGGUCGUUGACCAAAUUUACUGUCAUGCGAAUGAUUUCCUUGCUGGCUGUUGGACAAGGGUCAGUCUCAAUUUGUAGGGGCCUCCCGUAUUUCCUGCCUGACCUGACGACCCCCUUUGUCUUCAGUUCUCUCUGACCUCCCCUUCUGCCUCCUCUUAUGUAGCACCUCGCUGCUGAAUCUCUUCUGCCUUCCUCUUUCAUUUCUAAGGGCUCACAUCUCACAUUGGGCCCAACAGGAUAAUCCGGGAUAACUUCUUUAUCUUCAAGUCCAUAACCUUAUUCUAUCUGCACCAUCCCUUUUGGUGUAUUCACAGGUUCCACAUGUUAGUUGUGCCUGUUUUCUCGGAAGGGGGGACAUUUUUUUUUUGCUCAGUACAUACCCCACUUUUUCUGAUACUCUUUGGGAUUAGCAUUUAAGUAAGGCAUUUAAAGAUGUGAUUCCAAUUGAUAACAAAAGAAGAAAAUCAGAAUGAAGACAAAACUUGAUUCCAAUGUUGCUAGUAGAUAUUUUUCUCUAAGAGAUGAUAUCUUUUCAUUUUAAAAGCUUCAACUGAAAACUACUGAGCCAUCUCUGCAGUGAUCUAGGGAUUGAGAAUGGGUCACUCUUUUGGGGGGGUGGGUUGUUUUUAAUGCCCUCUUGGUAGGCUAGUAGAAAUCCACCCUUUGUCCAUGGCAGAAGAGAAUUAACUAGGCCAGUUAAUCUAAAGGUAAUAAAACUAUUUGAAAGGACAUAGUAGUUGUGAUCAUGACACAUUCUUAAAUGAACCAGACUCUGUUUGAUAUAUGUGAAAAAUUAAAGUUGGGUCUAAAAGUGCUGUAAGAGAAAUUUUCUCAUUCUUUUUGGUGAGAUCUGACAUCAGCAUAUAGAUGGCUUCAUCAAUUAUUGAGAAAAAGACUAAGAAAAGAAAAAUGACUGAUUGGGAUGCUUCAUUUUGAAGCCUGAAUUUGAAGCCCUUGGGUCGAAUGUACCUGUAGGUCUAAAUCUUUCAGAAUUAGCUCCUGCUCUCUCUCUCCAGCUUAUCUAUUUAAAUUUCUUGUUUAAAAAAACAAGGCACUUAAAAAUUUUUAAUGCACUCUGUCAAACAUCAGCACCUGUGUGCCAGACUUUGAAGCAACUGCAUCUAUCAAUGAAGGUUAAUCUCUUGGCUUUUGGAUUUAUCAUAUACAAAGUUUUUCGUCACACUGCAGGGUUGAAACCAGAAGUUAGUUGCUAUGAGAACAUAAG